AUGCCACCCCAGUUUCCUGGACCAGAAAAUGAAGUACGGUGUUAUCAGUUAGGAAAACUGCACAUGACAGUACUCAGUCAAAGCAGCAUUUUGUUUCAUGGAACGAGAAGUCUGGAGGCAGGAAGCUGCUGGCCCUGGUUCAGCCCCACAAUGUCUGGAGGACCCUUUCUGUCUUUGUCUUUUGGUCACGCCCUUCUUAGCAUGGGGGUCUUCUGUCAUCAUGCUUGUCACUUUGGGACGGUAAGAGGGCCGACACAGUGCUGGCACCGCAUCUCUACUAUAGGUAGGAGGGUGGGAAGGGGCAGAGCCGGGGGGCCACUGCUCCCAGACCUGGUCCUCUUACAUAGAAGUAAAAGCUUCCCCAGACCGGCCCCUCGUGCCCUCCAAGAGUUCCACCUAUGUCUCAUUGGGCAGAACUUGUCACGUGGUCAUCAUGCCCAGGUACAGAGGGACUGGGCCAGAGGUGUUGGGCUUUCUCGGCUUCUGUAGAGGAGGCCGCAAAGCAGAAGAGAAAGAAGAAUAAGCCCCCCAACCAGUAACAAGAGUAGCUACCAGUCCUCCUUUAGGGAAGCAAGGAGUGAUCAGAGUCUAUUUAAUUGCUUCCUUUUGUGGCACUUCUGUGUGAGUCACACUCUCCUCAGCUUCAGGAUGCAGACACCUGCUCUGGUUCUUCCACUAUUGCGAGGGCUACGUAGGGAAAUAAAGGAGACAGGAGGUUAACUCAGGCCACAUGGUCAGACCUCUGUGGUCAGGCCGGGUGGGACAAUCUGGAUGUGGUCAUUGCUCCAUUUCUUCAAUGGCAGCUCUGGCGACACUGUGACAAUAGUACCUGGUAGGUGGCUCUUCAGAAUCGGCACCUGUAGACCCCAUGACUCAAAUAUUUGGUUUCUAAGCCUCUGCUCCUGCCUUUACCAGCAGACUUAUUCCUUGUGGCUUCUACCAAAUGUCCUGAGAGAGCAUCUAUUGGACCACCUGCACUGUCCACUGGAGGAGGUGCCCUUGUGGGGCGGGGUGCUGGCUCACAGCCACCCCACCCUCUGGCUGGCCUAGCAAUGGCUUCCUUGGCCAAUGAGUGUGUGAGCAGGGGGACGGGUCAGGGACUACCACUCUUGUCACUCUUGAACAGAAGAAGGGGAGAGUGGAUGAGGUAGGCUCCCUGAGGCGACAGAGGAGGUAAUGAAACAGUGUCCAGUCUGGAUCCUCAGGCUCUCUGCUGCGCUGUGUCAAACUGGCCAUUUUUGGGGGGGAGGUGGUGCAGCUGUUUUCAUCUUUAUCAAGAGUUGUCUCUCAUUUGCUCAAAGUUAAAGCCCUAAAAGUUUUCUGCUCUACCCGAGUGUCCGAAAACUGGAAUAAAAACACAAAGCCCCUGCAUUUUUAAAAAUUUAUUUAUUUAUUUAUUUAUUUAUUUAUUUAUUUAUUUAUUUAUUUAUUUAUGAUAGUCACACAGAGAGAGAGAGAGAGAGGCAGAGACAUAGGCAGAGGGAGAAGCAGGCUCCAUGCACCGAGAGCCCGACGUGGGAUUCGAUCCCGGGUCUUCAGGAUCGCGCCCUGGGCCAAUUUUAGUAUAUGUGCUGCCGAAGCGAGCACUCGCGCCCUGGGCCAAAGGCAGGAGCCAAACCGCUGCGCCACCCAGGGAUCCCAAAACCCCUGCAUUUUUAUUGUUCUGACAGUAUGUGUUCCUAUAUACUGUUUUUUGCUUUUGUUUUUGUUUUUUAGAAAUUGAGGUAAAAUUUACCUAAAACUGAGUCUUUUGAAGUUAUAUUUAGGGCAUUAGUACACCGACUGUUUUAAAGUAUACGUAGUACGUUUGCAAUGCCGUGUAACUAUCACCUCUGUCCAGACCCAGAUGGUAAAUUUUUGAACAAGUGUAGGUGAGUGUCGGGAAUGACCCGGUCCUCGGUGCUGGAUAGAAGGACUGACCCCAGGAGCUAUCUGUUUAUGGACCUCCGCUUCUUUAUAGACUUCGCAUAAGAAAAAGAUACCCUCCUGACCUAUGUUACCAGCAGCUCUCCCAGUCCUCAGAAGCCUGCUUGUCCUCCCAAAUAUCCAUUAGCUGCAGAAGACACAGUGAGAAGCUGUUUGUUGGCUGAGGAUUUAUUGUUUAAUCAUUUUAUGGUGCCUUAGAUAGCAGUUAAAUUCACACGAGCAAACAAAUGGUGACCAAACGGAGUUAGGUACAAGGCCGUGGGUGGUUUGGUUCUGACAUGAAAAUAGAAUCCCUCCUCCCAUUCACUCUCUGGAGGAGGAAUCUUCCAAAUUAAGGCCUCACGAUGGAUUCUCAGAGGGCCAGGCCACUACUAACCUCAACAGCAAGUUUUAUGGCAAAGCCCUCUCCCCUUCCUUGGCGCUGCCACAGAAUCAGCUCAUUGGAUCCUCAUAAUUGGUCCAUGAAGGAGGCAGGGCAAGUAUUGUCAUCUCUCUGUCUCUCUCUCUCUCUCUCUCUUUUUUUUUUUUUUUUUUUUAGAUUUUAUUCAUUUAUUUCAGAGAGAGAAGAGACAGAGAUAGAGAGAAAGAGAGAGCACAAGUGGAAAGGAGAGGGAGAAGUAGGCUCCCCUCUGAGCAGGGAGCCUGACACAGGGCACCAUCUCAGGACCCUGAGAUCAUGACUCGAGCUGAAGGCAAACAUUUAUGCAACUGAGCCAGCCAGGUGCACCAGGUAUUGUCAUCUUAUAAGACCAGAGAUUCUGGGCACCUGGGUGGCUCAGUGGUUGAGAGUCUGAUUUUGGCUCAGUAACCCUGGGGUCCUGGGAUCGAGUCCCCCAUGGGGCUCCCUGCAGGGGAGCUUCUCCCUCUGCCUGUGUCUCUGCCUCUCUCUGUGUGUGUGUGUCUCUCUCAUGAAUACAUAAAUAAAAUCUUAAAAAAAAAUACCAGAGACUCUGAGAGCAUUGUCUGCCUCUCUCUUGACCACCCUACAAGGAUAAAUGGAAGAGCCCCAUAGACCCCUCCAAUUAUAAACUAGCUUGGAAGGAAUGUGCUCAGAUUUGACCUUUACCACCAGUGUUUUUUAAACUGAUGUUUUUCGAUUUAGGGGGCUAUGAACAGUGUGAACAUCAAGUGAGAGAGAACAGAAUAAUGAAUAUCAGAGUCACUGUGCUCAUAGUAGGUAUUUUUUCUUGGAAUGUUUGCUUCAGUAGAGUGUGUGCGCACACGCACGGGUGUGUAUGUGUGUGUACUGGGGCAUGAAGUAAAAUGUGUUUCCCAAUGUAGGUUAUAGUUUAACAAAGUUUGAAAGCUAUGGACAUAAAUGACUAUGGUCCGGUCAGGUCUGCUCAGAUUUGGACAUCGCCAGCCUCAGGCCUUGCCUACUGCCCUGACCCUUCAAAUAUUAGCAGGAUGAUAAUGGGCAUGUUCAGAGUCCUCGUGCCAAGCUCAUGGACACUCUACCAGGGGCAAAAAUUGAACAUGACAGUCUGCACCGAGGGCAAGUUCCAAGAACGGAAAACACAGCCCUUGUAGGGUUGUAUGACUUUUCAACUGUAAAAACAGUGUCAGUCCUGGCUUUGCUGUCCCCCCGAUAAUUUUGUGAAGGUACUUGAACAUUCUAGUGCAUUUCUAGAGCCACAGGCCAGGGCACUGACCUCCCUUACACUCCGAAGAAGCUGCUGCAGAGUGCUCUGGCUCUGGCUAAAAUUAUCCCUCUGAAGCCACCUGUUUCGUUCCUUUUAUACUUUGCCUCUCAGCAUUAGAUGUCCCAGAUCACUUGUCCCAAAUUCUUUUUCAUGGAAAAAGCCAUUAUUCCAUCUGUUGGAGGUUUUUUUUUUUUUUAAGAUUUAUUUAUUUAUUUUAGAGAGAGAGUGGGAGGAGAGGCAGAGGGAAAGGGAGAGUGAAACCCACGCUGAGCCCAGGGCCUGACGCGAGACCCAAUCUGAGGACUCGGAGAUCACCUAACCCUGAGAUCAUGACUCAGAUCAGGACCUGAGCCGAAACCAAGAGUCGGAUACUUAACCGACUGUGCCACCCACGUGCUCCUCCAUUUGUUGGAGAUCGUACUUUGCCUUUUCUCUUUUGCUUCCAAUAAGCUUAAGUCUGAUAGUUUUCUUAGGCAGUGUCUACAUGAAGGCAACCCCGAAAAUUAGAGGUAAAAUAUUUUGUCGAAUGAAUAGCUAUAAAAAAAAAUGCAGACAAUUCCAGUCAAAGCUCAGCUUGAUUUUUUUUUUCCUAUUGAAUACUUAAUUUUCUUAGCGUCCCAUAGAUUUAACUAGCCAUUUUGGUUAGUAUUUUUAACUUUUUAAAAAGUAAUCUCUAGUUGCCGAUGUAGGGCUUAAACCAAUGACCCCGAGAUUGAGAGUCACUGGCUCUUCUGACUGAGCCAGCCCAUCGCCCCAUGUUCCCAUGUUCCUAUUUGAAACUAUUAUUUAAAGAUUUUAUUUUUUUAAAUUUUUAUUUAUUUAUAAUAGUCACACACACAGAGAGAGAGAGAGAGAGGCAGAGACACAGGCAGAGGGAGAAGCAGGCUCCAUGCACCGAGAGCCCGACGUGGGAUUCGAUCCCGGGUCUCCAGGAUCGCGCCCUGGGCCAAAGGCAGGCGCCAAACCGCUGCGCCACCCAGGGAUCCCUUGAAACUAUUAUUUAAUAAAAGUUCAUUAAAAGUAUUGGGUACAAGCCUCAGGACCAAACCACUAAGAAAUGGUAAGGGCUUAACUUUUAGAUUCUUAACUAUCUAGUAAUACUAGUUUUACCUAAAGGCAGUGGGCCUUUUGGGUAUAAGCUGAGAGAAAUGUUCAGAACUCAUGAUGUUCAGAACACUCACGAUGACGAUGAUGAUAAGGACAGUGACGAUUGCGAGGUUUAUUAUAUGCAGGGUGCCCUAUUCAUUAUUUCAUUUAUUUCCUUUAAUUAUUACAAACACCUUGUGAAGAAAGUAUGACACUGAUUUCACCUUUAAGGACACUGAGAAUUAUAAAGAAGAUAUGUAACUUUUUCAGUUCUCACUAGUGAGAUGCCAGGUCCCCAAAUAACUGUGGGGUGUGUGUGUGUGUGUGUGUGUGUGUGUGUGCAAACCCAAGCUGUUCCUGAGUGUUGACAGGGGGACCAGUGGAAGUGAAGGUCAGGUUCCCAGGAGCGUGCCCCAGGGCGCCCAGGCGUGGGGCUGCGAGGGGGGCACGGGGUGCUUGGGUGAGGGACGG
rnacentral:lncRNA from 1 species